UACGGAGGGUGCGAGCGUUGUCCGGAAUCAUUGGGCGUAAAGGGCGCGUAGGUGGCCCGGUCAGUCUUUGGUGAAAGCGCGGGGCUCAACCCUGCGUCGGCCAGGGAUACUGCCGCGGCUCGAGCACUGUAGAGGCAGGCGGAAUUCCGGGUGUAGCGGUGGAAUGCGUAGAGAUCCGGAAGAACACCGGUGGCGAAGGCGGCCUGCUGGGCAGUUUAACUGACACUGAGGCGCGACAGCGUGGGGAGCAAACAGG
rnacentral:rRNA from 1 species